rnacentral:lncRNA from 1 species
AUGCUAAUCGUCUUGGGAACCUGCUGACUGAAGUUAAUGAUAAUAAAGUUGUUAAUGGUUUUGGCAUACGCUCCAUUUCUUUGUUAACCGGAGAGGAGUUUUUGUGGUUUAUUUUGUUGUCAUUUCUAUUGUCCGAGUAAUUUUCAGGGUUGUAAUCCGAGUAUUGUCUCGUUACUCAAACCCUUCUAUCCUUUUAUCUUGAUUUGUUUGUUUAGUCGUAGUAGCUCGUUUAGUGUUGUCUAGGUUUGUUCCAAGGUUGUAACCCCAGUUUAGUUUGCUUCUUGUGUUGUUCUAAC